UUUUUGGUGGCGAUUCUUAGGUGGGGAUGCUGAGAUAGAAAAUGAGAGGGACAUUACUAAGGCCAUCUGAGUACAGAAAGAGACAGGGGCUGUGUGUGCAGGAUUGUGCAUACACAAGGAGGUGGGAUGGAAUAUGGGAAAAUAAUAUGGACACUGGUUUCCAGAGUGCUGUCUUGACAGUAUUUUACAAGAUUCCAGAGCUGCACUUUUAAUUUUCAUUACUUUCCAUCUUCCUUUGAUAAGCUCAGGAGCAGUAUCUAAUUUUAUUAGGAGCUUUUCAUCAAACGUGGAUAUCUUCCUUCCUCCAGGGAUUCCCUAGCCACAGAAACAUCAGGUUCCGUGAAACAUUAGUUAAUCCCAGUUAGAGUUACUUGACCCUAUCAAGCUAAGAAAUAAAUUUUACUGUUCAUGAGAGUACUACUGUUUACACUUGAGACAAAAUUCUUAGAUCUCAAAGUUUUUAGAGGAAAAACAUAUUUCAUAAUGCCAGAAGACUGGCCUUAAAGAUCUGGGCCACAGAGGCCUGAAACUGUUUCUUGUUUCAAAUUAAAUGCACUGACAGACUUCCUCCUGACUGUGCCUGACACCAGGGCCUGAUUUUCUUGGCAUAAAAUCCAAAAGGGUGAGGGCAGGAGCCACGUCCAGUCCCACAUUGCUACCUCUGGCCCUCAGCCUUCCCCAUGCAGCUGCUCACAGAUGGAACUGGUGAGAAUCAAAGCCUUUCUUCCUGCCCAAGGCAGAACAAACUCUUCAGCAGGAGCUCAGGUGUGGUGAACAUUUCAGAGCUAAGGUUUUGGUGGGGAGUGACUGCCCCAGCAGGAAGGUGCUGCUGGCAACCAGCAUAACCCCAAUGCUUUGUAAAACAGAGGACCAGCCACUCUUGCUGCAGUGCUGUCACUUUUUCAGCUGUUUGCAGAGUAAGGUCUUGCUAGAAAAGGUUAACAAAAACUCAUAUACUCCAAAAUUAUCAGUUUGUUAUCACUAUUAAUAAUACUUUAUAGUACUUAACAUGCUACUUUUGAUCUUCAAAGCACUUUGCAAAUAUCAAUUAAUCCACACAGUCUGUCUGUGGGGUAAGUGAGUGCUGCUGCUCCCAGAGCUCAAGCACAGGGUUAGCUGAUGUUCUUAAGUCCAGAGGAUCAGGAUCAGCCUCUGCACAUCCUGCUCUGAUGCCCAAAAUAUUUAAAGAUGUGUCUCCCCUCCUCUUAGACGGGUUGAUGAACGUGCACCACUUUUAUUGUACAUGAGAUACUUUCUUAAAGUCCUGGUUUGAACUGACAACCCAACUCCAGCAGCGUGGACAAGGCUGCAGCUUUCUCCCUUCUCACAUAUUUCUGCAUUGAUGGGAGAGGUGGGCAAUUACAGCCAGCUGAUUAAAGGACUAGGAUUAUGAAGGAGUUAUAAAACUACUCCCCAAGUCCUGUUUUGUAGCGGAGAAUUGUGUGUGUGUACACAAAAGUGAUCGGAGUCACAGCUUAAAGAAGCAGCAGAUUUCUUUUAAGAUUUACCAGGCCACCAUCACUGAGACAUAACCAAAGGAAGAGUUUCACUGAAAGCAGCCCGUAUUUGUAAGGACUGAUUAGCGUAAUGUUGGGUUUUCUUCACUUGUGGGUUUGGGUUUGUUUGUUUCAUUUCUAAACAACUUCCAACAUUUUCAGUGCUAACAGCGAAGGAAGGACGGGCCCAUGAUGUGGUUUUAUUUGUUCAUGCUUCUUUGAGUUGGUAAAUCACACUGCAUUGCUUUAUUGAGUGUCCCUUUAGGAGUAUAUUGGAAAAAAUUCUAUCUGCCACAAUUAAUAGAGUGCCUAGUGCAUCAUACGGCACAGCCCCAGCGUCAGAACUCGGCAUUCUCCCGGAGCCCUUUGGUCCCACACUAGAUGCCAGAAAGGAUAGUGGCUGUGACAUGUGAUACAACUGCUGAUAAAUGAUGGUGAUAAUGCAGAACAAAAAGGCUAAUGAGUUCUCCCCAACACCACGCUACUUUCAUGAAAUGAAUGUGAUGAUGGCCCUAUUUGCUACUUUUUUCCUUUUUUUUUUUUUUUUUUGGCUAGUGAGUUACUUAUCCCUAUACCUGCAUGUUGGUUUUAUCUUGUCUGCACAAUGCCAUGGAGAGACAGCCAAAAUUAAUGUCAGCAUCUGCCUUCACUUUUAAACUAUAAAAGAGCCUUUGAAGGUAGAGUAAACCAAAGAGGCCAGUAACUAAUUAUAACCCAUUGUACU
rnacentral:lncRNA from 1 species